UUACACAUGCAAGUCGAACGGUAACAGGUCUUCGGAUGCUGACGAGUGGCGAACGGGUGAGUAAUACAUCGGAACGUGCCUGGUAGUGGGGGAUAACUACUCGAAAGAGUAGCUAAUACCGCAUGAGAUCUACGGAUGAAAGCAGGGGACCUUCGGGCCUUGUGCUACCAGAGCGGCUGAUGGCAGAUUAGGUAGUUGGUGGGGUAAAGGCUUACCAAGCCUGCGAUCUGUAGCUGGUCUGAGAGGACGACCAGCCACACUGGGACUGAGACACGGCCCAGACUCCUACGGGAGGCAGCAGUGGGGAAUUUUGGACAAUGGGCGAAAGCCUGAUCCAGCAAUGCCGCGUGCAGGAUGAAGGCCCUCGGGUUGUAAACUGCUUUUGUACGGAACGAAAAGCCUGGGGCUAAUAUCCCCGGGUCAUGACGGUACCGUAAGAAUAAGCACCGGCUAACUACGUGCCANCAGCCNCGNUAAUANAAA
rnacentral:rRNA from 1 species